UAGUCCACGCCGUAAACGAUGGAUACUAGGUGUCCGGGAAGUUAACCUCCUGGGUACUACAGCUAACGCGUUAAGUAUCCCGCCUGGGGAGUACGGUCGCAAGGCUAAAACUCAAAGGGAUUGACGGGGGCCCGCACAAGCGGUGGAGUAUGUGGUUUAAUUCGAAGCAACGCGCAGAACCUUACCUACCCUUAACAUCCCAGGACAACCUCAGAGAUGAGGCUUUCUCUUCGGAGACCUGGUGAUAGGUGCUGCAUGGCUGUCGUCAGCUCGUGUCGUAAGAUGUUUGGUUAAGUCCAAUAACGAGCGCAACCCCUAUCCUUAGUUACCAUCAUUAAGUUGGGGACUCUAGGGAGACUGCCGGUGUUAAACCGGAGGAAGGCGGGGAUGACGUCAAGUCCUCAUGGCCCUUACGGGGUAGGGCUACACACGUACUACAAUGGCAGAAACAAACUGACGCUACGCCGCGAGGCCAAGCAAAUCAGUAAAACACUGUCCAAGUCCGGAUUGGAGUCUGCAAUUCGACUCCAUGAAGUUGG
rnacentral:rRNA from 1 species